rnacentral:rRNA from 1 species
ACGGAGGGAGCAAGCGUUGUUCGGAUUUACUGGGCGUAAAGGGCGUCUAGGCGGAAUGGUCAGUCAGGUGUGAAACCCCCCGGCUUAACCGGGGAUCUGCACUUGAUACUGCCAAUCUUGAGUAUGGAAGAGGAAAGCGGAAUUCCAGGUGUAGCGGUGAAAUGCGUAGAUAUCUGGAAGAACACCGGUGGCGAAGGCGGCUUUCUGGUCCAAUACUGACGCUAAAGCGCGAAAGUGUGGGGAGCAAACAG